rnacentral:lncRNA from 1 species
UUUUUUUUUUUUUUUUUUUUUUUUUGGUGGAGGAAAGGCAUGUGGAAGUACCCAGGCCAGGGAUCGAACCUGCAGCAUAGCAGUGACCUGAGCCACUGCAGUGACCAUGCCAAAUCCUUACCUGCUACGCCACAGAACUCCUGAAAACAUGUCAAUACCACUGAAGUACAGAAUAUAGAGAGGCUGGUGGUAAAGGAGGAAGGAGGAGCAGUAACAGAUGACAUCAGGAAGCUAAAUCAGGACCAGUUCCCAAGAGCCCUGUAAAGCCCACUACAGCAUUUGCAUCCUCCAAGAGGUGAUGCAGAGGCACUCAAGGAUUUCAACCAGGGGAGUGAAAACACUGGACAUAUAUUUAAAAUAGACCUCGAAGGGGACAGCAUGAUGAGUGGAGAGAAGGAGGGCAAGAUUAGAUAGGGGAACAGGUGAAAGGCCACCACAAUAGCCCAGGUGAGAUCAUGAUAAAGUCCUUGCCUACAGUGAUGGCAGCAAGAAUGGAGUGAAAGGUAAAUUCCAGAGACGUCAAGAAGGUAGCGUGCAGGAGACUUAGUAAAUCACUGGGUGUGGGAGUGAAGGAAAGCUGAAGAAGGCAUCCAGAAUUGUUCCUUUUAAUGCCCUGUGCCAGUGAGUAGACAAUAGUGUCAUUCAUCACAAAAAGUGACUACCAGGAAAAAAGUAGUCUUCAAGGGGAGCCCAGGAGUUCAGGCUUAGACAGGAGUUUUCAAUUAAGAGACGUCCACGUAGAGCUUAGUAGGUGUGGGACAGGAAAGAGGCUAGGGCCUCACAUAAAUACAGAUUCUGGGAGCCAACAGUUCAUAUGUCAUUUGUUUAAUUUAAUUUUUUAUUGACGUAUGGUUGAUGUAUAAUAUUACAUCAGUUAUAGGCAUACAGGGUAUAUUUUUAAAGCCACGGAAGUGCACGAGAGUAUGCCAGCUGGAUGUUUUACUCACUGGAGACGGUGGGGUUGGGGGGGGGGAGAGAGAAUCACAGACCACCCAUAUGGAAGAUGUGGUCCAGCAGCAGAAGAGCCCAAGGGAAGCAACCACAGAGCCAUGGAAACCUGGGAGAAGGUAGUACCAUAGAAAGCAAGGGAGAAGAGCUUCAAGCCUGGGAUGUGACAGGCAGUGUCCAAUACUUCAGGGAGGGCCAGUCAGAUCAAGAUCGAAGAGCACCCAGUGGAUUUAGCAACAAAGGUGAUAUUGACUAAAAAAGGUGAAAGCUGGGUCAGUGGACUUGUGGGAAUGGAAGCCAGAGUCAGGUUCUCAUCUGAUAGAGUUUCCUGCAUGAAACAAAGGACUCAUCUAGCACUCUUGUUUGCUGAAGGCUUUAUGCCAAUUAUAAAGUUUAAACCCGUUUCAAGCACUUUCAUUUAGCUGGCAAUGAAAUAAGCAAAGGACUUGUACAUGCCCUUCCCUUAAUUACAGCUUGCAAAAUCUAUUCACUUUCAUGUACAAACAGGCUCAUCUGUGAAAUGGGUUGGCUGCAGUAUCAGGUUCAAGCUGGACUUAAGGUAAAAGCCAUUGCUAACUCGAGCCAGUUCAUAAAGUUUGCACGUAUAAAAUACGAUCAGAAGGAGCCUCAUACAUGAUUCCAUUUCUGAUAAUUUGCAGGCACAGCACAGGGAUUCAUUAAAAGCCAAAUUCUGAAAUGUUCUGUUGUCUUCCAUAUAUACAUACAUCUUGUGUUUUAUUUUAAUAGAUGAUUGGAAUAGAAUUAACUGUUUUAAAAAUAUUGGUGCCAGAGGUUAGAAUUAACCCCACUGUAGAUUUAUUAGGUUUUUACUAGCGGAGUUUUCUUCCGGAGACUGAUUUAUCAGCACCUCAAUCAGGGCAAUAAUGACCCUCACCACCUGUAUUAUUUCAGUGAUUUUUUUCGUCUUUCUCAGUUUACUUGUCUAAUUUUUUAAAUCAGGAGGGCGAGUAGAAAUAAUGUUCCGUGGUACUACUUAAGUUGUAGUUUAUGUUUGUAGAUUUCAACAAUAUUGUAAAUGCAUGUAUACAUAUGUGUGUGUGUCAGAGGGUUGUUUUUAGGAAGGAUUUUCCCCCCUGGAAAGAGAGAGAAAAAGAGAGAGGGAACAGAGAGGAAGACAGAUAAGAAAAGAAACUCUUUCUCUUCCCUUCCUGCUGCUGAGAGUAGCUUAGUGAGAAUGAGAUGCCUGGAGCAGCUAAACCCAUUAAUUGAGUCUAGAGACACAGAGCAGUAUGAAGGAAAGAGCCUCGGUUUCUGAUGACACUAUGUGGCUGUUCAAUCAACCAGGGACUGCUCCCUUGAUUUCUUGUUGGGUGAAAUAGUGACCGUAAUAAUUAAACUCACUUUUAAAUAGGGUGGUUGUUUCCUGUCAAUCAAAGGAAACUACUUUAUACCCAACACACAGGUACACACACACACACACACACACACAGUGCAUUACGCAGUGAAAGACUAUCUAUUUGGUCUUCAAAGAAUAAGAAUUUCAUUUAGGGAGUUCUUAUCAUGGCUCAGCGGUUAAUGAACCUGACUAGUACUCAUGAGGAUAUGGGUUCCAUCUCUGGCCUUGAUCAGUGGGUUAAGGAUCCGGCAUUGCCUUGAGCUGUGGUGUAGGUUGCAGACCUGGGAUCCCCAGUUGUUAUGCCUGUUGUGUAGCUCUGAUUUGACCCCUAGCCUGGGAACUUCCAUAUGCUGUAGGUGUGGCCCUAAAAAAACAAAAAAAAAAACCAGUUUCAUUUAUAACAAUGAACAAAGAAGGUUUUAGAUUUAGACACCAUUUAGAUUUACCAUUUAGUCAAAAUUGAUCUCAAAAAGUUUGGACAAAGCUACUCCAUUUAAACACAAAAGCAGCAAAAUCUACUUUGAUUUUUUAAAGAAAAAUAAGGUUGGAGUUCCCUGGUGACUUGGUGGAUUAAGGAUCCAGGGUUGUCCCUGCUGUGGCUCAGGUCAAUACUGUGGUGAGGGUUCCAUCCCUGGCCUGGAAACUUCCACAUGCCUCGGGUGCAGCCAAAAAGGGGGGGAGGGUGUGUGUGUGUGUGUGUGAAAACAGCCUGUAUUAAAAAAGAAUUAGCAGGAAACAAUCAAGUUAGCAUUCUUAAACAUGAUUUGAGGCCACAGUGCAAUUGUUAUGGCAUUUUUAAAAGAAUUGGUUGUAGCCAAUAAUAAAUGACACAUCAAAUUUGAAAAUUUUGUGUCUAUUAAAUUCUGUAAGAAAAAAAUGAAAAAAAAUUACUUCAUCAACACAACUGUGCAUGAAUUUUAAUCCACCAUUACAAAUUAUAACACCCUGUGAGGGAUACAUUAUAUUAACUCUCGGAAGGAAGAGAAUACAGAAUUGAUUUAAGAAUAAAUUUUUUCCUUUGUUUACAGAUUUUAAUUAAUUUUUAAAUAAGUUAAUUUCCUUCUACACUGGAAUUUGAAUAAAUUAAACUUUCCCUUCUAAAGUGGUAUUUGGAUGCUCUUUCUGGACUUACUUCUUAUCUCCAGAAAAUAAUUCUUCUGUAUAGUGGAAAUGAGAAGAAACUUGAGGGGUGAGUGGGUGGCAAGCCCCCAGAAUCAUAAUUAUCCCGUAGAGAAGGAAAGUUAAGUAGAGCACAACAAACUCUUUAGGAGAUUGGGAAAGUGGAUUGCAAAUAUUCGAAGACAAUACAAUUGAAAAUGAGAAAUAGUGUUAAGAGAACAGAGGACUCUUAAAAUCGGGAUCAUUUAUGAUUGUAUUAUUAGAACUUGCAGGAGGAAGAAAAGGUGAAGACAGCUGCAAGCCAGCUGUAUGCCAAGCUUUCCGGAGGGCUCAGAUUUUCAAAGGGCACAAGCUAAAGAUGAAAGCAGGGACAUGACCAAGGAUGAUGAGAAAAGGGCACCAGCCUGAAACAGAUUCAGAAAGUUUGAUGCCCAGAGGCCUCUCUGAAGCACAUCCCUGAAAGCAAAAAGGUCUGUGGCGCAGAAAGGAUGCUCAAAAAGAAGAGGACAGGCCCGCUGCUUGAUCCAGAGAAAACUCAGAACAACUUCUCUUCCAUUUUGUUUCCACCUUCACCAUCUGCAGACUUGACUUUGGAAGAGAACAAAGAGCAAGCUGGUGGAGAGCACCAAGGCCUCAAGCGGAGGGGGGGACACUGAGAACCCCCCCCCCAGCUUGCCUCCCCAGGGUUGAGGCUCUGAGGCCCCAGUGGGAAUACCUCCCAGAGGCCCCAAAGGCUGACAACGGACAGAAGGAACACCCUUGGACAUCUUUAGAGGAUCAUGAAAAGUUCAGAGAGGGGCAAACAUCCUUCUUUUCCAAGAGGGAUGGGAAGGGGUAAGAUUAACCAUAGGCCAAAAGGUGUUAUAUUAAACUCCAGAAAAACUCAAGAUUUUCAUUCUAUUUUUUUUUUCUUCUUUUUUCCUUUUCUGGCCACCCUGCAGCAUACGGAAUUCCUGGGCCAGGGAUCAGAUCCAAGCUGCAGCUGUGACCCAUGCUACCGAGGCAGCAAUGCCAGAUCCUUUAACCCACUGUGCUGGGUUGGGGAUCGAACCUGCAUCCUGGUGCUACAGGGACACCGCCACAGAGGGAACUCCUUAAGAUUUUCAUUCUGUUUAACUGAUUGUGAUCACUGAGAAAAUAAUUCAGCAAUCGCAUGGAGCCAGACUGAAUUUAAUUAAGUCACUACAUGCUGGUUUCUUUUUUAAAAAUAGGGGCUUACUAAUCUGGUAGAUAUGAAUAUUAUAUGUAAGCUAAAUUCUAAUUUCAGCAAACCAUUUCACAAAGCUGCCCGACAUUCUCCAAGUCACUUAUAAAUUUGAUGUGAUGAUUCUUCCAAGUGCCUUUUGUUUUCUUUUGUGACUUCAUUCUUGGCAAACGUUCCAGUCCUCAGGUACUGGAAAAUCUUGCAAAGGAAUCCUCAUUGAAUUGCUUUAUCAAAAAGUAAUUGUAAAAAUGGACACGCUAACCAAUGUAAAUGUGAUGGUUAAAUACGUUAUUACAUAUGAGCAACACAUAUAACUAACCACUUCCGAACAACUACCUUACAGCAUAUGCCAUACUUUACAUUUUUGCCCUAUGCCUUGCGGAAAAGAGGAUCAACUGCAGAAUUAUGCUACCUAGAUUCAAUUCUACUUCUUAUUAGACCUGGGGUAAAUUAAAUAACCUCUCUGGACUUAAUUUUCCCAUCUAUAAAAUGGGGAUAAUCAUAACCAAGUCAAAGGGCCAGUAUGAAAUGAAACAAUGUAAAAAGCACAAAUACAUAAAGUGGUCCCUAAAUGUGGAUGGCGUGAGUGGUGGUCCUCAUUUGGUAGUAAUGUCACUUGCCUCUGAGCAAGCUCAUCAAUAUUUUUGCCUUUUUAAAAAAAUGUAUUUAGGGCUGCACCCAAGGCAUAUGGAGAUUCCCAGGCUAGGGGUUGAAUCAGAACCACAGCAACACGGGAUCUAAGCCGCGUCUGCGACCUACGCCACAGCUCUCGGCAAUGCCGAGUCCUUAACCAAGUCCUUUCUCAAGACCAGGGAUCGAACCCGCAACCUUAUGGUUACUAGUCGGAUUUGCUUCUGCUGAGCCCCAAUGGGGACUCCGCUAAUCAAUAUUUUUUAGGUGAAAAUGAUCUCUCUCUGUAUGGGGUAAGAUUUUGUUUGUAAGGCACAGACCACCUGACUGCAAGCAUCUUGGUCAAUGUGAAUGUGUUUUCCCUGUGGAACAAGAAGCCGAGCAGCGCUGUUCUUGAACUGGUUCCAUAGUUAGUGUCACGGCUCUGGGUCAGCAUCUCCAUGGUUCUCUCAUGGCCACAGGAUAAGCCACUGCAGCUGCUCCAAACAGGAAGGAAACAGGAACAGGCACUCAUCAAAGGUCUCUCACCCAUGAACUGGCAAGACGAUUGUUCUCGACAUCCCCUUCCCUCCCCCGCUGCCUUUCCCUCGGCUCAUCUUGAGGGACACAUGGCCCGUCCUGGUGGAGGGGAGGCUGGGAAUCGAGGAGCUGCCCAUUGGCAGCCACCAGGCUGGAAAAGGGGACUUUCCCACUUCCCCAACAAGCAAAAAAAAGUGAACCAGGGUUUGCCAACUUAUUCUACCUUUGUUUCUCCUUUUCCUGAUCAGGCAGAUAAGUUUUUCCCCUCAAGGCUCAUUUUUGAUGGCUAAACCCAAAUGUAACGUCCUUCCUCAAUCCCUACACAAAUGUUCAUUGUCCGAAGUAAAUUAAUAAACACACCACCCGCGCCUUCCUAAUGCAGCAAAACAGGUAAUUAUUAACCAAAGUAGAAUUUACAAAUAACCCUAAAAAAAA